rnacentral:rRNA from 1 species
UACAGAGGUCUCAAGCGUUGUUCGGAUUCAUUGGGCGUAAAGGGUGCGUAGGUGGCGCCGUAAGUCAGGUGUGAAAUCCCGGGGCUCAACCCCGGAACUGCACUUGAUACUGCGGUGCUCGAGUACUGGAGAGGAGAUUGGAAUUUACGGUGUAGCAGUGAAAUGCGUAGAUAUCGUAAGGAAGACCAGUGGCGAAGGCGAAUCUCUGGACAGUUACUGACACUGAGGCACGAAGGCCAGGGGAGCAAACAGG